UACGUAGGGUGCAGGCGUUAAUCGGAAUUACUGGGCGUAAAGCGUGCGCAGGCGGUUUGUUAAGACAGAUGUGAAAUCCCCGGGCUUAACCUGGGAACUGCGUUUGUAACUGGCAGACUGGAGUGUGGCAGAGGGGGGUGGAAUUCCAAGUGUAGCAGUGAAAUGCGUAGAUAUUUGGAGGAACACCGAUGGCGAAGGCAGCCCCCUGGGCUAACACUGACGCUCAUGCACGAAAGCGUGGGGAGCAAACAGG
rnacentral:rRNA from 1 species